rnacentral:rRNA from 1 species
GGGUUGUGAGGUUAAGCGACUAAGCGUACACGGUGGAUGCCCUGGCAGUCAGAGGCGAUGAAGGACGUGCUAAUCUGCGAUAAGCGCCGGUAAGGUGAUAUGAACCGUUAUAACCGGCGGUUUCCGAAUGGGGAAACCCAGUGUGACUCGUCACACUAUCAUUAACUGAAUCCAUAGGUUAAUGAGGCGAACCGGGGGAACUGAAACAUCUAAGUACCCCGAGGAAAAG